AUUUCUUUGAGGAAGGGAAUGUGGGUUGAUGACUCGGGCUCUGACAAAAUCCCAAGAUUUUUCUUUUGGAGAAGGGUCAGCCUCAUUCCCUAAACCUGUUGGAUUUCUCCAUUUUGGAACCUAUACGAGGCAUCCUUCAAAAUACUCUUCUCCCAGUUGGAAAAGCAGCAGGGAGUCAAGGUGUGGAGUUAAGACCGGCAGCAAGUUGCCACUCCCCUUGCCCUGCCUCAGUUACUGCAAAAGCAUACAUCUGGGGAUAAACCCUUGUGUGGUAGAGUCAAUCCUCCUAGUGAAGAUUAUGAAGGGAACAAAGAGAGGGCCCUUCCACGCUUCAGAGAAAGGUGUUCUCACAAACACUAAUUCAGGA